UUAAGCGACUAAGCGUACACGGUGGAUGCCCUGGCAGUCAGAGGCGAUGAAGGACGUGCUAAUCUGCGAUAAGCGUCGGUAAGGUGAUAUGAACCGUUAUAACCGGCGAUUUCCGAAUGGGGAAACCCAGUGUGUUUCGACACACUAUCAUUAACUGAAUCCAUAGGUUAAUGAGGCGAACCGGGGGAACUGAAACAUCUAAGUACCCCGAGGAAAAGAAAUCAACCGAGAUUCCCCCAGUAGCGGCGAGCGAACGGGGAGCAGCCCAGAGCCUGAAUCAGUGUGUGUGUUAGUGGAAGCGUCUGGAAAGGCGCGCGAUACAGGGUGACAGCCCCGUACACAAAAAUGCACAUGCUGUGAGCUCGAUGAGUAGGGCGGGACACGUGGUAUCCUGUCUGAAUAUGGGGGGACCAUCCUCCAAGGCUAAAUACUCCUGACUGACCGAUAGUGAACCAGUACCGUGAGGGAAAGGCGAAAAGAACCCCGGCGAGGGGAGUGAAAAAGAACCUGAAACCGUGUACGUACAAGCAGUGGGAGCACGCUUAGGCGUGUGACUGCGUACCUUUUGUAUAAUGGGUCAGCGACUUAUAUUCUGUAGCAAGGUUAACCGAAUAGGGGAGCCGAAGGGAAACCGAGUCUUAACUGGGCGUUAAGUUGCAGGGUAUAGACCCGAAACCCGGUGAUCUAGCCAUGGGCAGGUUGAAGGUUGGGUAACACUAACUGGAGGACCGAACUGACUAAUGUUGAAAAAUUAGCGGAUGACUUGUGGCUGGGGGUGAAAGGCCAAUCAAACCGGGAGAUAGCUGGUUCUCCCCGAAAGCUAUUUAGGUAGCGCCUCGUGAAUUCAUCUCCGGGGGUAGAGCACUGUUUCGGCAAGGGGGUCAUCCCGACUUACCAACCCGAUGCAAACUGCGAAUACCGGAGAAUGUUAUCACGGGAGACACACGGCGGGUGCUAACGUCCGUCGUGAAGAGGGAAACAACCCAGACCGCCAGCUAAGGUCCCAAAGUCAUGGUUAAGUGGGAAACGAUGUGGGAAGGCCCAGACAGCCAGGAUGUUGGCUUAGAAGCAGCCAUCAUUUAAAGAAAGCGUAAUAGCUCACUGGUCGAGUCGGCCUGCGCGGAAGAUGUAACGGGGCUAAACCAUGCACCGAAGCUGCGGCAGCGACACUAUGUGUUGUUGGGUAGGGGAGCGUUCUGUAAGCCUGUGAAGGUGUGCUGUGAGGCAUGCUGGAGGUAUCAGAAGUGCGAAUGCUGACAUAAGUAACGAUAAAGCGGGUGAAAAGCCCGCUCGCCGGAAGACCAAGGGUUCCUGUCCAACGUUAAUCGGGGCAGGGUGAGUCGACCCCUAAGGCGAGGCCGAAAGGCGUAGUCGAUGGGAAACAGGUUAAUAUUCCUGUACUUGGUGUUACUGCGAAGGGGGGACGGAGAAGGCUAUGUUGGCCGGGCGACGGUUGUCCCGGUUUAAGCGUGUAGGCUGGUUUUCCAGGCAAAUCCGGAAAAUCAAGGCUGAGGCGUGAUGACGAGGCACUACGGUGCUGAAGCAACAAAUGCCCUGCUUCCAGGAAAAGCCUCUAAGCAUCAGGUAACAUCAAAUCGUACCCCAAACCGACACAGGUGGUCAGGUAGAGAAUACCAAGGCGCUUGAGAGAACUCGGGUGAAGGAACUAGGCAAAAUGGUGCCGUAACUUCGGGAGAAGGCACGCUGAUAUGUAGGUGAGGUCCCUCGCGGAUGGAGCUGAAAUCAGUCGAAGAUACCAGCUGGCUGCAACUGUUUAUUAAAAACACAGCACUGUGCAAACACGAAAGUGGACGUAUACGGUGUGACGCCUGCCCGGUGCCGGAAGGUUAAUUGAUGGGGUUAGCGCAAGCGAAGCUCUUGAUCGAAGCCCCGGUAAACGGCGGCCGUAACUAUAACGGUCCUAAGGUAGCGAAAUUCCUUGUCGGGUAAGUUCCGACCUGCACGAAUGGCGUAAUGAUGGCCAGGCUGUCUCCACCCGAGACUCAGUGAAAUUGAACUCGCUGUGAAGAUGCAGUGUACCCGCGGCAAGACGGAAAGACCCCGUGAACCUUUACUAUAGCUUGACACUGAACAUUGAGCCUUGAUGUGUAGGAUAGGUGGGAGGCUUAGAAGUGUGGACGCCAGUCUGCAUGGAGCCGACCUUGAAAUACCACCCUUUAAUGUUUGAUGUUCUAACGUUGACCCGUAAUCCGGGUUGCGGACAGUGUCUGGUGGGUAGUUUGACUGGGGCGGUCUCCUCCUAAAGAGUAACGGAGGAGCACGAAGGUUGGCUAAUCCUGGUCGGACAUCAGGAGGUUAGUGCAAUGGCAUAAGCCAGCUUGACUGCGAGCGUGACGGCGCGAGCAGGUGCGAAAGCAGGUCAUAGUGAUCCGGUGGUUCUGAAUGGAAGGGCCAUCGCUCAACGGAUAAAAGGUACUCCGGGGAUAACAGGCUGAUACCGCCCAAGAGUUCAUAUCGACGGCGGUGUUUGGCACCUCGAUGUCGGCUCAUCACAUCCUGGGGCUGAAGUAGGUCCCAAGGGUAUGGCUGUUCGCCAUUUAAAGUGGUACGCGAGCUGGGUUUAGAACGUCGUGAGACAGUUCGGUCCCUAUCUGCCGUGGGCGCUGGAGAACUGAGGGGGGCUGCUCCUAGUACGAGAGGACCGGAGUGGACGCAUCACUGGUGUUCGGGUUGUCAUGCCAAUGGCACUGCCCGGUAGCUAAAUGCGGAAGAGAUAAGUGCUGAAAGCAUCUAAGCACGAAACUUGCCCCGAGAUGAGUUCUCCCUGACCCUUUAAGGGUCCUGAAGGAACGUUGAAGACGACGACGUUGAUAGGCCGGGUGUGUAAGCGCAGCGAUGCGUUGAGCUAACCGGUACUAAUGAACCGUGAGGCUUAACCUU
rnacentral:rRNA from 1 species